rnacentral:lncRNA from 1 species
GAUAGUUGUAUGUGUGAGUGUAUGCGAGUGGGAGAGAAAGGCUUUUUAUUUUUACUUUAUGUGAUUACAUGGUUGUUAUGAGCCCUAUGAUUAGGAAAUAAAAUAUCUUUAUCUUUUAUCAACUCCCAAAAUCAAUCCCAACCUUCUUUUUGUGGUCAUAAACCUUGUGUUUAAAUUUCAUUGAUUUCUAUUUACUUAUACUAAAGUUAUUUG